GGUAAGGCCCUUCGGGGUACACGAGCGGCGAACGGGUGAGUAACACGUGGGUAACCUGCCCUGUACUCUGGGAUAAGCCUUGGAAACGAGGUCUAAUACCGGAUACGACCACUGAAUGCAUGUUCGGUGGUGGAAAGUUCCGGCGGUAUGGGAUGGACCCGCGGCCUAUCAGCUUGUUGGUGGGGUAAUGGCCUACCAAGGCGACGACGGGUAGCCGGCCUGAGAGGGUGACCGGCCACACUGGGACUGAGACACGGCCCAGACUCCUACGGGAGGCAGCAGUGGGGAAUAUUGCACAAUGGGCGAAAGCCUGAUGCAGCGACGCCGCGUGAGGGAUGACGGCCUUCGGGUUGUAAACCUCUUUCAGCAGGGACGAAGCGCAAGUGACGGUACCUGCAGAAGAAGCACCGGCUAACUACGUGCCAGCAGCCGCGGUAAUACGUAGGGUGCGAGCGUUGUCCGGAAUUAUUGGGCGUAAAGAGCUCGUAGGCGGUUUGUCGCGUCGGCCGUGAAAACUUGGGGCUUAACUCCAAGCUUGCGGUCGAUACGGGCAGACUUGAGUUCGGCAGGGGAGACUGGAAUUCCUGGUGUAGCGGUGAAAUGCGCAGAUAUCAGG
rnacentral:rRNA from 1 species